CACGUGACUUCCACCAGGAAACCUGUUUAUAUACAAGAAUGACGGCGCCAGUCAUGGAAAACCCGCUACUGCCCCUACUGGCGAACACGAGUAUCGCCCUGCAGCCACUUCAGGUGAAAGCAGGAUAAGGAGGUGAAAUAAGGAUGAUGGGGGCAAGGCCUGUACACCAAGUCCAUUGUUCCUGCAAAGACUCGCAGCAGAAGA